rnacentral:rRNA from 1 species
GCGCAUUAGCUAGACGGCGGGGUAACGGCCCACCGUGGCGACGAUGCGUAGGGGUUCUGAGAGGAAGGUCCCCCACACUGGUACUGAGACACGGACCAGACUCCUACGGGAGGCAGCAGUGAGGAAUAUUGGUCAAUGGGAGAGAUCCUGAACCAGCCAAGCCGCGUGAGGGAAGACGGCCCUAUGGGUUGUAAACCUCUUUUGUCGGAGAACAAAACCCGGGACGUGUCCCGGACUGCGUGUAUCCGAAGAAAAAGCAUCGGCUAACUCCGUGCCAGCAGCCGCGGUAAUACGGAGGAUGCGAGCGUUAUCCGGAUUUAUUGGGUUUAAAGGGUGCGUAGGCGGUCCGUUAAGUCAGCGGUAAAAUUGCGGGGCUCAACCCCGUCGAGCCGUUGAAACUGGCAGACUUGAGUUGGCGAGAAGUACGCGGAAUGCGCGGUGUAGCGGUGAAAUGCAUAGAUAUCGCGCAGAACUCCGAUUGCGAAGGCAGCGUACCGGCGCCAGACUGACGCUGAGGCACGAAAGCGUGGGGAUCGAACAGGAUUAGAUACCCUGGUAGUCCACGCAGUAAACGAUGAAUGCUGGUUGUCCGGGUCGAAUGAGACCUGG